CGCUCGGAAACGGACGCUAAUACCGCAUGCGUCCUACGGGAGAAAGCAGGGGACCUUCGGGCCUUGCGCUAUCAGAUGAGCCUAGGUCGGAUUAGCUAGUUGGUGAGGUAAUGACUCACCAAGGCGACGAUCCGUAACUGGUCUGAGAGGAUGAUCAGUCACACUGGAACUGAGACACGGUCCAGACUCCUACGGGAGGCAGCAGUGGGGAAUAUUGGACAAUGGGCGAGAGCCUGAUCCAGCCAUGCCGCGUGUGUGAAGAAGGUCUUCGGAUUGUAAAGCACUUUAAGUUGGGAGGAAGGGCAGUUACCUAAUACGUAUCUGUUUUGACGUUACCGACAGAAUAAGCACCGGCUAACUCUGUGCCAGCAGCCGCGGUAAUACAGAGGGUGCAAGCGUUAAUCGGAAUUACUGGGCGUAAAGCGCGCGUAGGUGGUUUGUUAAGUUGGAUGUGAAAUCCCCGGGCUCAACCUGGGAACUGCAUUCAAAACUGACAAGCUAGAGUAUGGUAGAGGGUGGUGGAAUUUCCUGUGUAGCGGUGAAAUGCGUAGAUAUAGGAAGGAACACCAGUGGCGAAGGCGACCACCUGGACUGAUACUGACACUGAGGUGCGAAAGCGUGGGGAGCGAACAGGAUUAGAUACCCUGGUAGUCCACGCCGUAAACGAUGUCAACUAGCCGUUGGGAGC
rnacentral:rRNA from 1 species